rnacentral:rRNA from 1 species
AGGGUUCGAUUCUGGCUCAGGAUGAACGCUGGCGGCGUGCUUAACACAUGCAAGUCGAACGGGAUCCCAGGAGCUUGCUCCUGGGUGAGAGUGGCGAACGGGUGAGUAAUGCGUGACCGACCUGCCCCAUACACCGGAAUAGCUCCUGGAAACGGGUGGUAAUGCCGGAUGCUCCAGUUGACCGCAUGGUCCUCUGGGAAAGCUUUUGCGGUAUGGGAUGGGGUCGCGUCCUAUCAGCUUGAUGGCGGGGUAACGGCCCACCAUGGCUUCGACGGGUAGCCGGCCUGAGAGGGCGACCGGCCACAUUGGGACUGAGAUACGGCCCAGACUCCUACGGGAGGCAGCAGUGGGGAAUAUUGCACAAUGGGCGCAAGCCUGAUGCAGCGACGCCGCGUGCGGGAUGACGGCCUUCGGGUUGUAAACCGCUUUUGACUGGGAGCAAGCCCUUCGGGGUGAGUGUACCUUUCGAAUAAGCACCGGCUAACUACGUGCCAGCAGCCGCGGUAAUACGUAGGGUGCAAGCGUUAUCCGGAAUUAUUGGGCGUAAAGGGCUCGUAGGCGGUUCGUCGCGUCCGGUGUGAAAGUCCAUCGCUUAACGGUGGAUCCGCGCCGGGUACGGGCGGGCUUGAGUGCGGUAGGGGAGACUGGAAUUCCCGGUGUAACGGUGGAAUGUGUAGAUAUCGGGAAGAACACCAAUGGCGAAGGCAGGUCUCUGGGCCGUCACUGACGCUGAGGAGCGAAAGCGUGGGGAGCGAACAGGAUUAGAUACCCUGGUAGUCCACGCCGUAAACGGUGGAUGCUGGAUGUGGGGACCAUUCCACGGUCUCCGUGUCGGAGCCAACGCGUUAAGCAUCCCGCCUGGGGAGUACGGCCGCAAGGCUAAAACUCAAAGAAAUUGACGGGGGCCCGCACAAGCGGCGGAGCAUGCGGAUUAAUUCGAUGCAACGCGAAGAACCUUACCUGGGCUUGACAUGUUCCCGACAGCCGUAGAGAUACGGUCUCCCUUCGGGGCGGGUUCACAGGUGGUGCAUGGUCGUCGUCAGCUCGUGUCGUGAGAUGUUGGGUUAAGUCCCGCAACGAGCGCAACCCUCGCCCUGUGUUGCCAGCACGUCGUGGUGGGAACUCACGGGGGACCGCCGGGGUCAACUCGGAGGAAGGUGGGGAUGACGUCAGAUCAUCAUGCCCCUUACGUCCAGGGCUUCACGCAUGCUACAAUGGCCGGUACAACGGGAUGCGAC